CUUAGGACGAACGGCUGGACGGCGUGCCUAACACAUGCAAGUCGAACGGACGAAGGGAGCUUGCUCCCCGAGUUAGUGGCGAACGGGUGAGUAACGCGUGAGCAACCUGCCUUUCAGAGGGGGACAACGGUUGGAAACGACCGCUAAUACCGCAUGAAACAGUCGGACCGCAUGAUCUGGCUGUCAAAGAUUUAUCGCUGAAAGAUGGGCUCGCGUCUGAUUAGAUAGUUGGUGGGGUAACGGCCUACCAAGUCGACGAUCAGUAGCCGGACUGAGAGGUUGAACGGCCACAUUGGGACUGAGAUACAGCCCAGACUCCUACGGGAGGCAGCAGUGGGGAAUAUUGGGCAAUUGGGGGGAAACCCUGACCCAGCAACGCCGCGUGAAGGAAGAAGGCUUUCGGGUUGUAAACUUCUUUUACCGAGGACGAAGAACGUGACGGUACUCGGAGAAAAAGCCACGGCUAACUACGUGCCAGCAGCAGC
rnacentral:rRNA from 1 species